AUUGAACGCUGGCGGCAUGCUUUACACAUGCAAGUCGAACGGUAACAGCACUUCGGUGGCUGACGAGUGGCGAACGGGUGAGUAAUACAUCGGAACGUGCCUAGUAGUGGGGGAUAACUACUCGAAAGAGUAGCUAAUACCGCAUGAGAUCUAAGGAUGAAAGCAGGGGACCUUCGGGCCUUGCGCUACUAGAGCGGCUGAUGGCAGAUUAGGUAGUUGGUGGGAUAAAAGUUUACCAAGCCGACGAUCUGUAGCUGGUCUGAGAGGACGACCAGCCACACUGGGACUGAGACACGGCCCAGACUCCUACGGGAGGCAGCAGUGGGGAAUUUUGGACAAUGGGCGCAAGCCUGAUCCAGCAAUGCCGCGUGCAGGAUGAAGGCCUUCGGGUUGUAAACUGCUUUUGUACGGAACGAAAAGCCCUCUUCUAAUACAGGAGGGUCAUGACGGUACCGUAAGAAUAAGCACCGGCUAACUACGUG
rnacentral:rRNA from 1 species